AACGAACGCUGGCGGCAUGCCUAACACAUGCAAGUCGAACGAGAUCUUCGGGUCUAGUGGCGCACGAGUGCGUAACGCGUGGGAAUCUGCCCUUUGGUUCGGAAUAACAGUUGGAAACGACUGCUAAUACCGGAUGAUGACGAAAAUCCAAAGAUUUAUCGCCAGAGGAUGAGCCCGCGUAGGAUUAGCUAGUUGGUGUGGUAAAGGCGCACCAAGGCGACGAUCCUUAGCUGGUCUGAGAGGAUGAUCAGCCACACUGGGACUGAGACACGGCCCAGACUCCUACGGGAGGCAGCAGUGGGGAAUAUUGGACAAUGGGCGAAAGCCUGAUCCAGCAAUGCCGCGUGAGUGAUGAAGGCCUUAGGGUUGUAAAGCUCUUUUACCCGGGAUGAUAAUGACAGUACCGGGAGAAUAAGCUCCGGCUAACUCCGUGCCAGCCGCCGCGGUAA
rnacentral:rRNA from 1 species